rnacentral:rRNA from 1 species
UACGGAGGGUGCAAGCGUUAUCCGGAUUCACUGGGUUUAAAGGGUGCGUAGGUGGGCAGGUAAGUCAGUGGUGAAAUCUCCGGGCUUAACUCGGAAACUGCCAUUGAUACUAUCUGUCUUGAAUACCGUGGAGGUCAGCGGAAUAUGUCAUGUAGCGGUGAAAUGCUUAGAUAUGACAUAGAAUACCUAUUGCGAAGGCAGCUUACUACGCAGAUAUUGACGCUCAUGCACGAAAGCGUGGGGAUCAAA